rnacentral:rRNA from 1 species
UUUUUUAUUUGAGAGUUUGAUCCUGGCUCAGGAUGAACGCUGGCGGCGUGGAUAAGGCAUGCAAGUCAAGGGGCUCUUCGCUUGGGAGUUUUUAAGAAUUUCCAAGUGAGGAGCACCGGCAAACGGGUUAGUAACACGUAGAUAUCAACCCCAUUCACAGGCAUAACCAGUUGAAAAGCUGGCUAAUUCCUGAUAGUCCCGUAAGGGUAAAGGUUUACGCAAGUAUUCCGGAAUGGGAUGAGUCUGCGGCCUAUCAGCUUGUUGGUGAGGUAAUGGCUCACCAAGGCGAUGACGGGUAGGGGAUGUGAGAGCAUGUUCCCCAACAAUGGCACUGCGACACGGGCCAUACUCCUACGGGAGGCUGCAGUCGAGAAUAUUGCGCAAUGGGCGAAAGCCUGACGCAGCGACGCCGCGUGCUUGAAGAAGCCCUUCGGGGUGUAAAAAGCUUUUCUGGAAGAACAACCUUCGGGUGAGCGUACUCCAGGAAUAAGAGGGUGCUAAUCACGUGCCAGCAGCAGCGGUAAUACGUGACCCUCGAGCGUUAUCCGAAUUUAUUGGGCGUAAAGAGUCUGUAGGUGGUUAAGAAAGUUUUUGGUUAAAUAUCCAGGGCUCAACCUUGGAAGUGCCAAAAAAACUUCUUGACUAGAGGGCAUUAGGGGCUGGUAGAACGGUCGGUGUAGGGGUGAAAUCCGUUGAUAUCGACCGGAAUCCUAAAAGCGAAGGCAUCCAGCUGGGGUGACCCUGACACUGAGAGACGAAAGCGUGGGGAGCAAAAAAGAUUAGAUACCUUUGUAGUCCACGCCGUAAACGAUGAACACUAGCUACUUGAAGUGUCGACCCUUCAAGUGGCGAAGCUAACGCGUUAAGUGUUCCGCCUGGGAAGUACGAGCGCAAGCUUAAAACUCAAAGGAAUAGACGGGGAUUCACACAAGCGGUGGAUCAUGUGGCUUAAUUCGAUAAUAAGCGGAGAACCUUACCAGGGUUUGUACUCGCCUGAAAGCCUUCUGAAAAGAAGGCCCUCUCACAAGGACAGGCGAGCAGGUGCUGCAUGGUUGUCGUCAGCAUGUAUCUUGAGACGCACGCUUAAAUGCGGUAACAUGCGCAACCCUUGCUCUAUGUUUUAUUUGUCAUAGAGGACUGCCUGGGAUAACCAGGAGGAAGGCGAGGAUGACGCCAAAUCAGCAUGGCCCUUUGAUACCCUGGGCUGCACACGUGAUACAAUGGCUGGUACAAUGGGUUGCCAAGCGGCAACGCGGAGCUAAUCCCAUCAAAACCAGUCCCAGUUCGGAUUGGGGUCUGCAACUCGACCCCAUGAAGCCGGAAUCGCUAGUAAUCGCCAAUCAGCCAUGUGGCGAUGAAUAUGUUCCUGAAUCUUGUACUCACCGCCCGUCACAUUAGGGAAGCCAGUAGUAGCCGAAAUCUUAAUUUAAUUAGGCCUAAGCUAAGAUUGGUAACUAGAAUGAAGUCGUAACAAGGCACGGGUAGGGGAACCUGUCCGUGGAUCAC